AGGAAACAAACACCAGGUGAGGUCUACAGAGGAAACAAACACCAGGUGAGGUCUACAGGGGAAACAAACACCAGGUGAGGCCUACAGAGGAAACAAACACCAGGUGAGGUCUACAGAGGAAACAAACACCAGGUGAGGUCUACAGAGGAAACAAACACCAGGUGAGGUCUACAGAGGAAACAAACACCAGGUGAGGUCUACAGAGGAAACAAACACCAGGUGAGGUCUACAGAGGAAACAAACACCAGGUGAGGUCUACAGAGGAAACAAACACCAGGUGAGGUCUACAGAGGAAACAAACACCAGGUGAGGUCUACAGAGGAAACAAACACCAGGUGAGGUCUACAGAGGAAACAAACACCAGGUGAGGCCUACAGAGGAAACAAACACCAGGUGAGGCCUACAGAGGAAACAAACACCAGGUGAGGCCUACAGAGGAAACAAACACCAGGUGAGGUCUACAGAGGAAACAAACACCAGGUGAGGCCUACAGAGGAAACAAACACCAGGUGAGGUCUACAGAGGAAACAAACACCAGGUGAGGUCUACAGAGGAAACAAACACCAGGUGAGGUCUACAGAGGAAACAAACACCAGGUGAGGUCUACAGAGGAAACAAACACCAGGUGAGGCCUACAGAGGAAACAAACACCAGGUGAGGUCUACAGAGGAAACAAACACCAGGUGAGGCCUACAGAGGAAACAAACACCAGGUGAGGUCUACAGAGGAAACAAACACCAGGUGAGGCCUACAGAGGAAACAAACACCAGGUGAGGUCUACAGAGGAAACAAACACCAGGUGAGGCCUACAGAGGAAACAAACACCAGGUGAGGUCUACAGAGGAAACAAACACCAGGUGAGGCCUACAGAGGAAACAAACACCAGGUGAGGUCUACAGAGGAAACAAACACCAGGUGAGGUCUACAGAGGAAACAAACACCAGGUGAGGCCUACAGAGGAAACAAACACCAGGUGAGGCCUACAGAGGAAACAAACACCAGGUGAGGCCUACAGAUGGCAGGAACACCAGGUGAGGUCUACAGAUGGCAGGAACACCAGGUGAGGUCUACAGAUGGCAGGAACACCAGGUGAGGUCUACAGAUGGCAGGAACACCAGGUGAGGCCUACAGAUGGCAGGAACACCAGGUGAGGCCUACAGAUGGCAGGAACACCAGGUGAGGCCUACAGAUGGCAGGAACACCAGGUGAGGCCUACAGAUGGCAGGAACACCAGGUGAGGCCUACAGAUGGCAGGAACACCAGGUGAGGCCUACAGAUGGCAGGAACACCAGGUGAGGCCUACAGAUGGCAGGAACACCAGGUGAGGCCUACAGAUGGCAGGAACAUCAGGUGAGGCCUACAGAUGGCAGGAACACCAGGUGAGGCCUACAGACGGCAGGAACACCAGGUGAGGCCUACAGACGGCAGGGUUAGAGGAGAAACAGUGUUGGGAAAUAUCCCCAAAUCCUUUGAACUAGAUUAUUAGAUUACUCAAUUAACUAAAUGAACUCAGAGUAAUUGUUUUAGAAUUUAAAAUGUGUUUAAAAUCCAACAAGGUCCAAAAGCCAGAAACAACCUGUAUCCUAGCUAGAGGAUGUUAUCAGACAUGUCUGUCGUUUUCAGAACAUCCUGUUUUUUAAAGAUGUGGUCGUUUCUGGGCCUGGCUAAACAUAUUUCCCAGGGUGACUUGGGCCCCUCCACCCAGAUUACAUAAAGAGGUGUGAGCAUGGGAGUAGCUGAGGCCCGUCCACCCAGAUUACAUAAAGAGGUGUGAGCAUGGGAGCAGCUGGGGCCCCUCCACCCAGAUUACAUAAAGAGGUGUGAGCAUGGGAGCAGGGGGGGCCCUCCACCCAGAUUACAUAAAGAGGUGUGAGCAUGGGAGCCCCUCCACCCAGAUUACAUAAAGAGGUGAGAG